rnacentral:tRNA from 1 species
GCCGCAGUAGCCCAACUGGCAGAGGCGCCCGGCUCAGACCCGGGAGGCUGGGGGUUCGAAUCCCUCGUGCGGUA